AUGAACGCUAGCGGGAGGCCUAACACAUGCAAGUCGAACGGGAUUGGGGGCUUGCCCCCAUGAGAGUGGCGCACGGGUGAGUAACGCGUAUGCAACCUGCCUAUAACUGAGGGAUAGCCCAUAGAAAUGUGGAUUAAUACCUCAUAGUCCUUUUGUCCCGCAUGGGACGGAAGGUAAAGCCCCGGCGGUUAUAGAUGGGCAUGCGUGACAUUAGCUAGUUGGUGAGGUAACGGCCCACCAAGGCUACGAUGUCUAGGGGUUCUGAGAGGAUGCUCCCCCACACUGGUACUGAGACACGGACCAGACUCCUACGGGAGGCAGCAGUGAGGAAUAUUGGUCAAUGGGCGCAAGCCUGAACCAGCCAUCCCGCGUGCAGGAUGAAGGCCCUAUGGGUCGUAAACUGCUUUUAUGCACCAAGAAAAACACCCACGAGUGGGUGCCCGACGGUAGUGUAUGAAUAAGCAUCGGCUAACUCCGU
rnacentral:rRNA from 1 species